rnacentral:tRNA from 1 species
CAUGCCUUGCGCAAGCGGAUGCGAGCGGAUGGCCUUGGUGUGGCGAUGGUGGAAAACGUCGUCGUCGGCGGGCGGGUGAUUCCGCAGGCGUGG